GCCGCGCGCGCCAGGAGUGUAUCAGCCCGGACCCCAGUUCAUUGUGCUCGCCUCAUGCCAGCCCGAGUUCGCAGCUAGCGCUGGAGGCCCCGGGCCGGUGACCACAAAGCGGGAGCCGGGGGCCAGACGGGAGCGCGGCGGCCCCUCCUCCGAGCGCCAGGCCCCUCCUCUCAGCCUCCCGCCUGCCCGUCUGCCCCGCCCCCGCCGGCGGCGCCGCGCCCCUCCCCCGAGCGCCAGAGUAGCGCGGUGCGGGGACCGCGCGCGAAGACAAUGAGGGAGAAGCUGGAGCUGAGGCUGGAGUCGCUCUUGGGGACCGAGCCCGCCGUCUGCCCGUGGCCGCUGCCGGUCUACGUGGAAAGACUAUCUCCCAGUUGAACAGCGGAUGCCUGGGACUCGUUUCAUUGCUUUCAAAGUUCCUUUAAAAAAGAGUUUUGAAAAGAAUCUUGCUCCAGAAGAACGUUUCUCCCCUUUGGAUCUCUUAACAAAAUCCAAGAACAGAAUGAAGAACUUGGGCUGAUUAUUGACUUAACAAAUACUCGCCGCUAUUACAAGCCAGAGGACUUACCAGAAACUAUUCCUUAUUUAAAAAUUUGUACAAUUGGGCAUCAGGUAUCAGAUGACGACACUAGUUUUAAAUUCCAGUGUGCUGUUAAUGGGUUUCUGAAAGAACAUAAAGAUAACAUCCAUUCUUCACACAAGAAACCUUAAAAGCAAGUUGGGACAUUGCUCAUAAACAUGGCUCAAAAACAUUGUUUUGAGAAUAGAAAACAAACUGUUGGCCUUUAACACUCUGCGUGGUCUAGAAUCCUGUCUGCUUCUCUGCUACGUGGACUCUAGCUUGGUGCCUCUCCAACUUUAAUAUGGGUAUGCCUCUCUUAUGGAUCUUGUUAAAUGCAGGCUGUAAUUCAGUAGUUCUGGGUGGGGCCUGGAUUCUGUGCUUCUAACGAGCUCCUAGGUGAUGGUGACCCUGAGAGCAAGGGUCCAGCUCCUGCCUUUCUCCCUUCUUUUUGGAAGAGCAGGACGUCUGCCCCCCCAGGAGGAGAAAACAUCCGCAAUGUGACUACUAGUAACCAGCUUCCGUCACAGGCAAGGGACCUUUACCACUGCUCCCUACCAUUUUGUCUGAGGCGCAGCAAGCCAAAACACUGACAUGCUGAGGUUUGCAGCAAAGAGGAGGUUUAUUCACAAGGCAGCCAAGCGAGGAAGUGACGUGACAAUAGGUCUCAAAUCCGCCUCCCCAAAGGCAAGGGGCUUGGGGUAUCUAGGGGAUAAAGAAUAAAGAAGCAGGGCAGUAUGAGGCAUGGGGAGCAUGAGGAAAGGUGAUUGGAAAAAGGUGUGCUCAUCAUUGUUCUGAGCUGGCGUAACUAGGCUACGGGGCUCAGCACAUUCUCAGGCUGUAGUUUUCGGCCCUCUGAUGGCAGGAGGUCAAAAGGCACUGGCCCAGGUGGAAGAUCGGUGGUCCUCUCCAGUCUUAACCAGCUCAGCCUAACUAGACACAGCUGAUUCCAAGUUCCUGGACAAUACCCGGGCCAAACAUCUUAUUGCUUAUGCUACAUGCUAUUUGGAGGACGUGCAAGUGUUCAAGCUACCUUGAGGAGUGAAGACAGGAUUUGACUAAUCCUUACACAUGGUUUCACCUCCAGAUGAGCAGAAGAGGCCUGUAGGCUGAAUCUGGCUCCUGGCACCUGGAAUUGGAGGCAGAUGGUUUAAAAACAGGCUCUCCCACCCUCUGUGUGAUCUUAGGUAGAUAGACUAUUUAACCUUCCUGUGCCUGUUUCUCCACCAGCAGCAUGGGGACACUCAGAGUCCCUCUCUUGGGGGCUGUUAUGGGGGUUCAGUGAGAUAUAGAUGCAUGCACAGGCACACGGGAGACACCCAGUGUGUGUUAGCUUCAUGCUUCCUUUUAUUAGGAGACCAGUAUUGUUAGAAGAUUUCUGGUUUGGACCACAAAUUAGAUAGGUGGUCAUUACUAUAGUUUAUGCAACAGCAAUUCACAUUACCAUUUGCAAAAAAGCAGUUGGUUGUCCAGUGGGGAUUAUAAACAUCCAUUUACCAUGAGCUACUGAACAGAUACUUUACACAGUAACUACUUCAAGUACUAUUUAAGAUCAGUUCUCUAUGUUGUCUUAAGCAGUUGUUAACCCCCAAUUUCGUGAAUAGUACCAAGUAAGUCACUUGAACAUCAGCUAGAGCAAUCUAUUUCACUUAGCAAGCCUAAAGCUAUAGUUCAAGAAUUUUAUUUACUGUUCUAUGACAAAAAUUACUCUCAACAGCUAUGCCCUGGAUAAGUAAUCAGCUAAAGCUAGUUUGACUGACCAAAUCUGAUUUACUGAGUUAAUAAGCCAGUUGAUUUAGAAAGGUCUAAUGUAUAUUUCUCAUCCAUUCAGCAUUAAACUGUUUCCCAUGCCUAAAA